rnacentral:rRNA from 1 species
UUCCAGACUCCUACGGGAGGCAGCAGUGGGGAAUAUUGGUCAAUGGGCGCGAGCCUGAACCAGCCAAGUCGCGUGAGGGAAGACGGUCCUAUGGAUUGUAAACCUCUUUUGUCGGGGAGCAAAAGACGCCACGCGUGGCGUUCCGAGAGUACCCGAAGAAAAAGCAUCGGCUAACUCCGUGCCAGCAGCCGCGGUAAUACGUAGGGUGCGAGCGUUAAUCGGAAUUACUGGGCGUAAAGGGUGUGCAGGCGGUUUUGCAAGAUGGAUGUGAAAGCCCCGGGCUUAACCUGGGAAAGCCAUACAUGACUGCAAGACUAGAGUGCGUCAGAGGGGGGUGGAAUUCCAAGUAUAGCAGUGAAAUGCGUAGAUAUUUGGAAGAACACCGAUGGCGAAGGCAGCCCCCUGGGACGCAACUGACGCUCAUACACGAAAGCGUGGGGAGCAAACAGGAUUAGAUACCCCUGUA